rnacentral:misc_RNA from 1 species
GAUGAAGAACGCAGCGAAAUGCGAUAAUUAAUGUGAAUUACAGAAUUCCGUGAAUCAUCGAGUCUUUGAACGCACAUUGCGCCUCAUGGCAUUCCGUGAGGCAUGCCCAUCUCAGCGUUAGAAAAUAUUCUCAAAUUUUAGUUUUGUGCUAAAAUUUGGAUCAUGUCAAGGAAGCUAUUACUAUUAUUGUGAUCGCUCUUUGGAAAUUGAUAGGACUUUGAGUUGCUACUCAUAGAACGUGAUGAAUCUUUCUUCGUUCUAUUGUAAUUCACUCUGGUAGUCCUAAAACUUGUAUGCCUGUGGCAUAUCUUGUAAUUUGACCUGAGAUUGGGUAGGGAUACCCGCUGAACUUAAGCAUAUCAAUAAGCGGAGGA